UACGGGGGGGGUAAGCGUUGUUCGGAAUUACUGGGCGUAAAGGGCUCGUAGGCGGCCAACUAAGUCAGACGUGAAAUCCCUCAGCUUAACUGGGGAACUGCGUCUGAUACUGGAUGGCUUGGAUUCGGGAGAGGAAUGCGGAAUUCCAGGUGUAGCGGUGAAAUACGUAGAUAUCUGGAGGAACACCGGUGGCGAAGGCGGCAUUCUGGACCGACAUUGACGCUGAGGAGCGAAAGCCAGGGGAGCAAACGGG
rnacentral:rRNA from 1 species